rnacentral:tRNA from 1 species
AAGGCCUUAGUAUAAACCAAUACCUAGCCCUGUCAGAGCUAAAUUAUAGGAUAAAACCUAUAGGCCUUA